rnacentral:lncRNA from 1 species
UUCUUUUCCCUUCUGGUUUAUUCCUAUUCCCUUCUUUUUUGGGAAGCUGUAUUUAUCUUGUAUUUACUUUUGUAUUUAUCUUACCUUUUUAGAGGUGUUGUGCCUGCUUCUGCUGGCUUCAAAAAGGAACAGGGAGCUCUACAGUAGAAGCCUGAAGGUGAGGUGGGCUGGCCUCUCUGCCUGCCUGUGCUCCUUCCUUCCCCCUGGAAAGUUCACCACAUGAGACUUUGAUAGGCUUCUUCUUACCCUAUUUGUUUUACUUUUCCUCCCCCCUUUCGUGUUCUCCUUUCUCUUUUUCUUCCCUAUUUAUUUCUUCAAUUUUCUCUUUACUUCCCCUUUCUUCCCUCUUUCUUCUUGCUCUUUCUUUUUCAUCCCCUUUAUGUUUCCGUUUCCCUUCCUCUUUCCCUUUCCCUUCCACUUCCCCUUUCUCUUUCCCUUUCCCUUCCUUUCCCUUUUCCUUCCCUUUUCUCUUUCCUUUCCCUUUUUGUUUCCCCUCCCUUCCCUUCUUUGCCUCAAGAAGCUGUAUUUAUCUUGUAUUUACUUACUGUAUUAUCUUACCUUUUUUAGAGACUGUUGGCCUGCUUCUGCUGGCUUCAAAAAGGAACAGGGAGCUCUACAGUAGAAGCCUGAAGUUGAGGUGGGGUGGCCUCUCUGCCUGUACUCCUUCCUUCCUCCUGAGAUAGGAGAGCAGAGACGAUCCGCUUUUGGGAGCCGGGCUGAAAACGGCUGCGCCGUAACCCGCAUAGUACAUCAGGAUCACUCCGUCGGGCAAGCGGCUCCAUCUAGCGGCCGUGGCCCGUUUCAUGCCGGACGCUCAGUGAUGUCACCAACGAAUGAGCUGACGUUACAGCACGGGGCGACCCUUCCCCGAUCCCGGGCAGCCCCAGGAUCUUUCUGGGAGCGAUAUGAGCAGAGCAGGGGUGGGGUGCAUUGUAACCCCUCUUCUCAGCGUCACCCGCAGGUUCACCAGCAACUCACUGCAGCGCUCCCUGAGAACCACUGAAAGGGCUUGGUGCUGUGAGCACCUGGAGGAGCUCUUUGUGAUAGGGAGUGGCUGAAUGUUGCUUCCGGCUUUGCUGCUGGCUAGAUUUGCUGUGUGGACUGAUAUCAAAUGCAUUACAGUAGUUUGAGGCACCGGGAGAUGACUGCCAGGCCCUCUGUCAAAGGAAAAACAAGUCUUUUGGCAGUGUGAAAAAUAAACUGGGCUGUUCUCCAGUAGCA